GGAAAAUUUCAUACUCCUCCGUCCGCGCAAUUUUCGUAAAAAGGGAUACAAAGUUUUUGCUUCACGUAUUAAUAUAUAGGCAAAUUAUAAUAAUCUGGACCGAGAUAAUGUGGAGAAAUUAAUGAUUGCAUUAUUAUUAAUGAAAACUCGAGUAGAUUUCGUGAGCACUGAAAAUGCAGUGUUGUUACAAAAUGACCCAUUUUAACACGCCGUCUGAAACAUGUUUUGAAGUUAAAUUACUAAAGUUUGACAAGCAGUCCGAAGCAAUAAACCGUGCUAUCAAUAAUUAUCCGCAACAAUGCACAAAGCGAAGAGAACCUUUGAUAGAUCUUUGAAAUAUAGAGUUUGAAAAUAUACAUCAUAUAGAGAAAAA